GAUUGUACCAGCCAUCCGUGUGCUAAUGGUGGAAUAUGCCAUAAUGAGGAACACGAUUUCAUUUGUUCCUGUCCAGCACAUUAUUAUGGAACUCAUUGUCAAAACUAUGCUGUUCACCAUUAUCAUGUAGAUCACUGUGCUAGCCAACCGUGUCAUAAUGGUGGAACAUGCCAAAAUAAGGAACAUGGUUUUGUGUGUAUCUGUCCACCUGGCUUUAAAGGAACUCACUGUAAUGAAAUUUUGGAUUGCGGAUGUCACCAUGGAAAGUGUUUUCGAAGUGCCUCUCAUCGGAACCACUGUAAAUGUGACGCCGGAUAUACUGGAGCACUAUGUGAAACCG